rnacentral:rRNA from 1 species
AACGAACGCUGGCGGCAGGCCUAACACAUGCAAGUCGAGCGCACCUUCGGGUGAGCGGCGGACGGGUUAGUAACGCGUGGGAACAUACCCUUUUCUACGGAAUAGCCUCGGGAAACUGAGAGUAAUACCGUAUACGCCCUUCGGGGGAAAGAUUUAUCGGUGAAGGAUUGGCCCGCGUUUGAUUAGAUAGUUGGUGGGGUAAUGGCCUACCAAGUCUACGAUCAAUAGCUGGUUUGAGAGGAUGAUCAGCAACACUGGGACUGAGACACGGCCCAGACUCCUACGGGAGGCAGCAGUGGGGAAUCUUAGACAAUGGGCGCAAGCCUGAUCUAGCCAUGCCGCGUGAGUGACGAAGGCCUUAGGGUCGUAAAGCUCUUUCGCCA